UGCCAGCAGCCGCGGUAAAACCAGCACCUCAAGUGGUCAGGAUGAUUAUUUGGCCUAAAGCAUCCGUAGCCGGCUCUGUAAGUUUUCGGUUAAAUCUGUACGCUUAACGUACAGGCUGCCGGGAAUACUGCAGAGCUAGGGAGUGGGAGAGGUAGACGGUACUCGGUAGGAAGGGGUAAAAUCCUUUGAUCUAUUGAUGACCACCUGUGGCGAAGGCGGUCUACCAGAACACGCCCGACGGUGAGGGAUGAAAGCUGGGGGAGCAAACCGGAUUAGAUA
rnacentral:rRNA from 1 species